rnacentral:rRNA from 1 species
UACGGAGGUGCAAGCGUUGUCCGGAAUCACUGGGCGUAAAGGGCGCGUAGGCGGCUCAUGAAGGCUGUGGUGAAAGUCCGGGGCUCAACCUCGGAUCGGCCGUGGCGACUCGUGGGCUGGAGCACUGUAGAGGCGGGUGGAAUUCCGGGUGUAGCGGUGGAAUGCGUAGAGAUCCGGAAGAACACCAGUGGCGGAAGGCGGCCCGCUGGGCAGUGGCUGACGCUGAGGCGGCGACAGCGUGGGGAGCAAACGAGG